UCUAAUAUUGGAUGCUACCAUGUAUAAAAUAAUAGAUUGUACCAUUCCAUUUAAGCAUUAAAAUAGCAUUUGCAUUCUUCUUUUUAUUUUUUUUUUUUUUUUUUUUUUUUUUAAAAAAAAAAAAAAGGUAGCAUCCAAUAUUAGAGGUCAUAUCUAGGCCUGAUACGCUAUAGCAAAAACUACUCUCCACUGCACAGCAAAAUGAAACUAAUAUGUAGGUCAGCCAGAAUGCUAUCUGUCCCUAACCAAUGAACACAGCUCCUUUCAUUAUAUCUUUUCCACAGUAGGUGCUAUUUACAGAGCACUUUCAAAUAUGGGUCUCCUUUCAUUAAGAUAAAUGCU
rnacentral:misc_RNA from 1 species